AAUAAACGCUGGCGGCGUGCCUAACACAUGCAAGUCGAACGAGAAAGCCAUGACUUCGGUUGGGCGAGUAAAGUGGCGCACGGGUGAGUAACGCGUAGGCAACCUACCUUGAAUUGGGAUAACAGUGCGAAAGUGCUGCUAAUACCGGAUACGACCCUUUUGUGCUGGGCAAAAGGGUGAAAGUCGGCCACUGGAACAAGCCGACGUUCGGGGAUGGGCCUGCGUCCUAUCAGCUGGUUGGUAGGGUAACGGCCUACCAAGGCGACGACGGGUAGCUGGUCUGAGAGGAUGAUCAGCCACACUGGCACUGGAACACGGGCCAGACUCCUACGGGAGGCAGCAGUGAGGAAUUUUGCGCAAUGGCCGCAAGGCUGACGCAGCAACGCCGCGUGGGUGAAGAAGGCCUUCGGGUCGUAAAGCCCUGUCAGGUGGGAAGAACGACACGGGGAGGAAUAUGCUCUGUGAGUGACGGUACCACCAGAGGAAGCACCGGCUAACUCCGUG
rnacentral:rRNA from 1 species